GCGGAUGUGGCGAAAUUGGCAGACGCACUAGACUUAGGAUCUAGCGCCGCAAGGCAUGUGGGUUCGACCCCCUCCAUCCGCA
rnacentral:tRNA from 1 species